GGAAGGUGACAAAUGUGAAGGAGGAUCAGUCAUAUCCUGAUCAUCCAGACAGAUUUGACAUCUGGCCUCAGCUGCUGUGUAGAGAUGGUCUGACUGGUCGCUGUUACUGGGAGGUCGAGAGGAGAGGAGAGGUUGAGAUAUCAGUGAGUUACAGAGGAAUCAGAAGGAAAGGAGACAGUAGAGACUGUGUGUUUGGAUAUAAUGAUCAUUCCUGGAGUCUGAACUGCUCUGAUGGUGGUUACUCUGUCUGGCACAAUAACAUAGACACAG